CCAACGGUUGGCUGCAGUGAGGAAUAUUGCGCAAUGGGGGCAACCCUGACGCAGCAACGCCGCGUGAGUGAGGAAGGUUUUCGGACCGUAAAGCUCUGUCGAGCGGGAAGAAAUGUAUCAUGGCUAAUAUCCAUGGUACUUGACGGUACCGCUAAAGGAAGCACCGGCUAACUCCGUGCCAGCAGCCGCGGUAAUACGGGGGGUGCAAGCGUUGUUCGGAAUUAUUGGGCGUAAAGAGCGUGUAGGCGGCUGGAUAAGUCAGAGGUGAAAUCCCUGGGCUUAACUCAGGAAGGGCAUUUGAAACUGGCCGGCUUGAGUAAGGGAGAGGAAAGUGGAAUUCCUGGUGUAGAGGUGAAAUUCGUAGAUAUCAGGAGGAACACCGGUGGCGAAGGCGACUUUCUGGCCCUAUACUGACGCUGAGGCGCGAGAGCGUGGGUAGCAAACA
rnacentral:rRNA from 1 species